UACGGAGGAGGCAAGCGUUAUCCGGAAUUAUUGGGCGUAAAGGGCUCGUAGGCGGUCUGUCGCGUCGGUAGUGAAAACUCAGGGCUUAACCCUGAGCCUGCUUCCGAUACGGGCAGACUAGAGGUAUGCAGGGGAGAAUGGAAUUCCUGGUGUAGCGGUGAAAUGCGCAGAUAUCAGGAGGAACACCGAUGGCGAAGGCAGCUCGCUGGGACGGUACUGACGCUGAGGCGCGAAAGCGUGGGGAGCGAACAGG
rnacentral:rRNA from 1 species